UACAGAGGUCUCAAGCGUUGUUCGGAUUCAUUGGGCGUAAAGGGUGCGUAGGUGGCGCGGUAAGUCGGGUGUGAAAUCUCGGAGCUUAACUCCGAAAAUGCAUUCGAUACUGCCGUGCUUGAGGACUGGAGAGGAGACUGGAAUUCAUGGUGUAGCAGUGAAAUGCGUAGAGAUCAUGAGGAAGACCAGUGGCGAAGGCGGGUCUCUGGACAGUUCCUGACACUGAGGCACGAAGGCCAGGGGAGCAAACGGG
rnacentral:rRNA from 1 species